GGCACAAUCUGUCGCCAAAAAGGCGAUCCGGGUCCACCGUCAACUCUGACGGCACCCAACAAUUCGAAACAGUCCAAACGACCAUAUAAAAAUCCACUCGGCGCACCAGCAUGAGCGUAAAUAUAUUCUAAACAACCUGAAGUACUCGUCUCGAAGAUACUGCGACAGUACAAUUUUAUAACGGCUCCUAGAGCUAAAUCAGGCAGUUUAAACAUGUGACAGGUCCAAAUCGCAGGUUUUCUCCUAAUUCAAAUUCCAAGUCCAACAU
rnacentral:lncRNA from 1 species